rnacentral:rRNA from 1 species
GACGAACGCUGGCGGCGUGCUUAACACAUGCAAGUCGAACGGAAAGGCCCUGCUUUUGUGGGGUGCUCGAGUGGCGAACGGGUGAGUAACACGUGAGUAACCUGUCCUUGACUUUGGGAUAACUUCAGGAAAAUGGGGCUAAUAUCGGAUAGGAGCUCCUGCAGCAUGGUGGGGGUUGGAAAGAUUCGGCGGUUGGGGAUGGACUCGCGGCUUAUCAGCUUGUUGGUGGGGUAGUGGCUUACACAGGCUUCGACGGGUAGCCGGCCUGUGAGGGUGACCGGCCACAUUGGGACUAAGAGACGGACCAGACUCCUACGGGAGGCAACGGUGGAGAAUAUUGCACAAUGAGCGGAAGCCAGAUACAGCAACGCCGCGUGCGGGAUGACGGCCUUCGAGUUGUAAACCGCUUUCGCCUGUGACGAAGCGUGAGUGACGGUAAUGAGUAAAAAAGCACCGGCUAACUACGUG